UACGGGGGGGGCAAGCGUUGUUCGGAAUUACUGGGCGUAAAGGGCGCGUAGGCGGCCUUCUAAGUCGGACGUGAAAUCCCUCGGCUUAACCGAGGAACUGCGUCCGAUACUGAAAGGCUUGAAUCCGGGAGAGGGAUGUGGAAUUCCAGGUGUUGCGGUGAAAUGCGUAGAUAUCUGGAGGAACACCGGUGGCGAAGGCGGCAUCCUGGACCGGUAUUGACGCUGAGGCGCGAAAGCGUGGGGAGCGAACAGG
rnacentral:rRNA from 1 species